GCAAAAGGCUGAAAUGGAGAUGAAGGUGUCGGCCAUGGAUGAAGGAAAUGAGUAAUAAUUUUGAGGCAAUCGAUGGAGGUGUUUCUUCAACCUAUUUCAAUUUUCUUUCUUCACAGAAAAAUGGAGGGUAGUUUGAUGAAGGUGGAUCUGGGCUGCCGUGAAGAUUGGUUCUCAGGAAGCUGAAGCAAAGUGGAAGAUAACAACGAACAAAAGUAGAUUUCAAAUCCUUCAGCAAUAGUCUGAUGUUUUGAUGUUCUGAGCUGUAGAAGUGGAGUUAGAAGUUAAGAUGGAUCAAGUUACAAAUAUAUUUUAAUUUUAACAACUUUUGUGAAGGAUGCUUGAGUUGGAAAUGACGGAAAAGAGAUGAAAUUGUAGGUAGAAGACAACGGAUUGAGUAAUUCGCGAAUCUAGAGUAGCCUGUGAUAUUUAAAGUGUUUUGAGCUAUAGAAAAAGAGUUGGGGAGCUGAGAUUUUGAGGUAAAACAGAUCAACAAGCUGACUAGAAGACUAUUUUUUUUUUUUAUCAAUCCAAGCAAUUCCAAAACUAUAAAUUCACAGGUUCUUCGUGUAGGAAGUUUCAUUGCUUGGAGGAAUUCGAGAGCGUUUCGGAUGCCUAAUUUUUUAGGCAAACUUGCUCACUCUAUGGGUCAAGAAGAGAUUGGACAAAUUUAUAGAUCCAAGAGUCUAGCUUCAAUUUGUGAGUGGCAAAAAUGAUUAGAAUGAUGAUUUCUAAACAUAUUUACUGGUUAAAUGCUUCCAAGCACAUGCUUUGAGAUUUCUAUAGUAUAUUUGUUUAUUGAUUCAGAAAGUUCGAUUGCAAAGCAUGAAUUUAGCAUGAGGUGAUAAAAAGUUUGAAAAGCAUGAGUUUGAUAAUGGGAUACUAUUACUAUUAAACUAUUAGACUUAAGAGUAUUUCCAAGCAAGGCAUGAAUUAUACUGUUUUUUAAGUAUUUAAGCUUAAAAAUGUUAGCAAAAGCAUGAUUUAUAGAUUUGAGACUUGCUGAUUGCAAAAGUAUGUUUAAACAUGUUGUUUUGUUGAUUCUAAAGUUUAUGAUUUGAAAGAAUGUCUUAUCUUACCCCCAUGUUCUUAGUAACUCUAUGAGGGAGUUUGCAUGUACACAAAGGUCGAUUAUAAUGAGGGCAUUGAGUAUAUGCCUAAGAGUUCUCAUCACAAGACUAGAUGAGAUGAGGGCAUCAAUGAAUGCUUAGUUACCCAUCUCCAAACAAUUACAUCGAGAUAAAGGCACAGAUGAGUGCUUAGUUUUCUAUCUCUAGUUAUACAGAGAUUUAGGGUAUAACAAGGAAGAGAAGAGUUUGAAACUAUUUGCUUGAUAAAUUUUUUAUAUGUUUUGCUAAGUUAUUUAUUACUCAUUGAUCUGUAAACCAUGUUUUGUUUUAAAAAUUAGUCACUCACUGAGCUUCAGCUCAGCCUUUACAAAAAUGUUUUCCUACACGAUCUGGUAGUUGACUACUUUUGCCUAUCGGUUAGAGUGUGAGUUAUCUUUUCAGUAUGUCUUAUUACCAUUUGUGCAUAUGUUCGGUAUAUGAGUACUUAAUGCACUUGAGUAGGUUGUGGGUUGUAAGAGUUGGUCACUUGAGUAGGUUGUACUUGAGUUCUAUGUCUAUGUAAGAGUUAUUAAACUUGUUAUUUAUAGGUUGGACUACACUACUUUAUUGUAUACGUUUUAUUUGGUUUCCGUUGUAAAUGUAUGCAUCUUACAUGUUUUUGUUCAAGGUUAAGUUUAGUUUCAGUUCAAGUAGGGUCAACAGGUAUCAUUUGUAGGAGAAUUGUAUCUGUUGGCUUCACAUUGUCUCCUGGACUAAGAGAAGGUUGUUUGGGAGGGGGUGUGACAACCAAUGUUGAUUGGGCCUCUGAUCCAUAUGACAAAAUCUACUUAUGGUAUUUGUAUAAUUUUUGGAAAUAAUCCUGUUGUUUAUGGCUUUUGAAAAAAAUCUAUCAUCUCUGGAUCAAGUACAGAAGUAGAAUAUAGAGCUUUGGCUCUUGGAGUUGCUGAAGUCUUGUGGUUAAAAUCUCUACUUAAUUAGCUGAAUUUUUUUGUAAAACAAGCCCCAAUGAUCUGGUGUAAUAACUUCAGUGUUGUUCAUCUCAAUGCAAAUCCAAUACUUUAUGCAAGAACCAAACGUGUAGAAACUGGCAUCUACUUUGUUCGUGAUCCUUCCUGGCUAAAAAGAUUGAUAUGCAACAACUACCACUUCCAGCAUCAGCUUAAAUAGAUGUUAUCUUUAUAGAAGCCAUUUCUACACAAUCUUUUCUCAGAUUACAUUUCAAGCUCUAUGUUCUUCCAACUUCAUCCAUUGGCUUGCAUGGGAUUUUAAGAUAGCUCACUAAACAAAAUCUCUCUUUGUAAAUCUUCU